rnacentral:rRNA from 1 species
UCCCCUACGGGGCGCAGCAGUGGGGAAUAUUGGACAAUGGGGGGAACCCUGAUCCAGCGACGCCGCGUGAGGGAAGAAGGUUUUCGGAUUGUAAACCUCUGUCUUAAGGGACGAUAAUGACGGUACCUUAGGAGGAAGCUCCGGCUAACUACGUGCCAGCAGCCGCGGUAAUACGUAGGGAGCGAGCGUUGUCCGGAAUUACUGGGUGUAAAGGGAGUGUAGGCGGGAUGGUAAGUUAGGUGUGAAAUGCGGAGGCUCAACCUCCGAGCUGCACUUAAAACUGCUGUUCUUGAGUGAAGUAGAGG